rnacentral:rRNA from 1 species
UACGUAGGAGACGAGCGUUGUCCGGAAUCACUGGGCGUAAAGGGCGCGUAGGUGGCGCGGGCAGUCAACGGUGAAAGCUCGGGGCUCAACCCCGAGUCGGCCGUCGAUACUCCCGUGCUUGAGCACUGUAGAGGCAGGUGGAAUUCCGGGUGUAGCGGUGGAAUGCGUAGAGAUCCGGAAGAACACCGGUGGCGAAGGCGGCCUGCUGGGCAGUAGCUGACACUGAGGCGCGACAGCGUGGGGAGCAAACAGG